CAAUAGCGUAUAUUUAAGUUGCUGCAGUUAAAAAGCUCGUAGUUGGAUUUCGGGUGGGAAUGGCCGGUCCGCCGUUUCGGUGUGCACUUGCUACGCCCACCUUGCUGCCGGGGGCGUGCUCUUGAGUUCACGCUCGGGACACGGAGUCGGCGAGGUUACUUUGAGUAAAUUAGGGUGUUCAAAGCAGGCCUACGCUCUGAAUACAUUAGCAUGGAAUAACACGAUAGGACUCUGGCCUAUCUUGUUGGUCUGUAGGACCGGAGUAAUGAUUAAGAGGGACAGUCGGGGGCAUUCGUAUUUCAUUGUCAGAGGUGAAAUUCUUGGAUUUAUGAAAGACGAACUACUGCGAAAGCAUUUGCCAAGGAUGUUUUCAUUAA
rnacentral:rRNA from 1 species